UACGUAGGGUGCAAGCGUUGUCCGGAAUUAUUGGGCGUAAAGAGCUCGUAGGCGGUUUGUCACGUCGGAUGUGAAACCCUGAGGCUCAACCUCAGGCCUGCAUUCGAUACGGGCAGACUAGAAUUCGGCAGGGGAGACUGGAAUUCCUGGUGUAGCGGUGAAAUGCGCAGAUAUCAGGAGGAACACCGGUGGCGAAGGCGGCUCACUGGCUCGUUUCUGACGCUCAGGCGCGACAGCGUGGGGAUCAAACAGG
rnacentral:rRNA from 1 species